GAUAAAUAUGGAAGGUAAAUGGAAAACCAUGUUAAACAAAAGUUGUUUGGUCUAAAGAAGGAUAAAUAAUGGCAAAAUGAAAUUUUCAAAAAAAAAAGAUUUUAUGAUCAUAUGAUAGUUAUGAUUGUUUUUUUUAAAUGGCAUUACAAAAUCAUUAACGCACGUGCGUCCCGAAACAAGGAGUUUUUUAAUCUCUGUCACAUACAUACGAGGACAACAAAGUAACAAUUGUAUAGUACCAGAGAGUUAUACAAUGUUAUCUAACACUCUGGUUUAUCUUAAACGGUCAAUAACCCAUGAUACCCCUUGACUCGUAAUGGACGGAUCUCUCAUAUACACAUAAUGAGAUAAAGUUAAUACUCGUUAGUUUAUGUCGAUUCUUAAUCCUUUGGUGCGUCCCUUGUUUUUUGAAUGAUACGCUCGACAUGCAUAUGAGUGCGUGUCCCUUGGACAAUAUAUCAGGACAAAGUUCGACAAUUAGAGAGGAGAACCAAGGCGCCCGGACGAUUCGGCGCCGUGCCGGAGAACACACCCUAAACGCUGCAGAGACCGGCGAGACCGGCAGGCGGCAUACGGACAAGAGGUCAGAGCCCCCGGACCCCGAUGGCCGCGUCCUCGUGGUUAGCGAGUAAGAAUGAGCGCUGUGGAGGAAGAAGUUGCUGUGAGCCUGCAUCAGACGGCUGACAACGGCAGUGGUGCACGUCGGGGACCCAUCGCCUCCGUGGCUCUCAACUUGGAGUCGCUAAUCGUGGAGUGCGAAAGAAACGCAACCUGAAAGGAGGUUUGAAGGGACUCGAUCCUUUCGCAGCUAUUCCCUUUAUGUGAAAGAUUGACAUGAGUUUAUUGUACAAGUUGAAUUGAACAACAUAAAAUAAACAUGAAACUUCUUCGAGUCAUCUUCAGAUAUUCGAAUAAAUGCAGUAGUGAAAUAAGAGAUGAAC